CAGUCCAAAACCUAAUUGUUUCUGUACAAAUUGGUCAGACACGUAGCUCCCAAGACUGGGUUGCAACAGUUCAGGAGGGUGAAUCACACGGCUGAACAAUUGCAGAGGCGUAGCAAUGAAACAGGCAUUAGCAGUGAUUAAUGGCUCCGAGUAAGCCCUCUGAGGAUCUGUCCUUGUGGAAAUGAAACUCUCCUGCCAUCGCUACGGUGGCCUCCAAUUUGAGCAGGGCCAGCCGUCAUCAACAGAAGCCAGAGUCCAUGCAUAUUUGCACUGUGAUUCCCUCUCCAUCCUUCUUAGCCACCAGGUGAGAGAUUGAGAGAAGUACAGGCAUGAGAAAUGAUGAGAGCAGCUCUCUGUGGGAAGAUGCCAAAGCAUGUUUGAAGUUUGAGGAAGUUCAAGAAAGAUUUGGUGAGGAGUUCUUUAAUAUAUUCUUUGAUGAGAAUGAGAGAGUCCUUUGAGCCAUAGGUGGCACAUUGCAGGACUUUUUUAAUGGCUUUGAUGCUUUGUUGGAACACAUCAGAACUUCUUUUGGGAAACAGGCCACGCUGGUGUCCCCAUCGUUCCUUUGCAAGGAGCUCCUGGAGGGCACCCUUCUGCUUUACUACUUCCGUCCUCACCACGUUGUGGGCUUUGCAAUGCUGGGCAUGAUCAAGGCUGCAGGAAAGAAGAUCUACCAGCUUGAUGUGGCCAUGGAGCAGGUGGCCAAUGAGAAACUGUGCUCCGAUAGAACCCAGGCAAUUGUAGCUGUCUUACCUUCCUCAUCAAAGAAUGUGACAAUACUAACACCAGGAAGAACCUUCCCCGGGGAGUCUCCCAAGUCCCUGCGGACCUCAGAAUCAGCAUCAGUACCUUCUGCAGGGCCUUCCCUUUCCAAUUGAUAUUUGACAUCCACAUGUCCUUCCUACAGCUGGGGGAAGGCCUGCGGAAAUAGCUGUGGUGCGACAGCCACAAAAUGCUAAGAGGACUGCUUUGAGAUCGUUUCUCCAAACGUCAGUGCCGCCUUUGAGAGGAUCCUGUUGUGACUGUCCACCCCGUUUGUGAUCAGGACCAAGCCUGAGGCUUCUGGCACUGAAAAUAAAGACAAGAGCCUAAGUGACAAUGUGGAGGGAGUUACCAUCUCUUAAGAUAAGACAUCAGGAGGAGGAACACAUCACCAGAGUAGAGGGAAUGAAACAAGUGAUGAUACGAGCCUGAGGUUUGGAGUGAGUACUUUGCCAUGACCUGGCUCUUGCUGAAAUGUCACAAUGAGAAAACCCUUUUUGAGUCUAUCAAGAAGCCUAAGCUUAGAGAAGAAGCCAGAUAUUGCCAGGCAGGGUGUGUGUCACAAGAGAAGUUUAAACCAUGGUUUUGAGUCUGAAGUGGAGGGAGCCAUUUGUGCCAGGAGAGCAUGAGUGGAAAUGAAUUUGUUGUAAAUGGGGGUAGACUGUGGUGAUUCUGUGGCGCUGUUGAGAGCCAGGGUGGCUGCCUGACACUUAGCAAGCCCUCCAAGGCUGGUGUUUAUCCCUUUGAAUGCAGCACUGGUGGCGGUGAGAAAAGUGAUCUCAGGGCAUGAGAGCUCUCACACUAGGCCAAAAGAAGAGAAGUUUGAACUAUAU